rnacentral:rRNA from 1 species
GAUUAACGCUGGCGGCGUGCAUAACACAUGCAAGUCGAACGAUGAAACUUAAAUGAUUUCUUCGGAAUGAACUUAAGUGGAUUAGUGGCGGACGGGUGAGUAACGCGUGAGUAACCUGCCUUACACAAGGGGAUAGCCGUUGGAAACGACGAAUAAUACCCUAUGAAACUAUCACUUCGCAUGAAGCGAUAGUCAAAGUGUUAGCGGUGUAAGAUGGACUUGCGUCUGAUUAGCUAGUUGGUGAGAAAAAAGCCCACCAAGGCAACGAUCAGUAGCCGGCUUGAGAGAGUGUACGGCCACAUUGGGACUGAGACCCGGCCCAGACUCCUACGGAAGGCAGCAGUGGGGAAUUUUGCACAAUGGGGGAAACCCUGAUGCAGCGACGCCGCGUGAUUUAGAAGGCCUUCGGGUUGUAAAAAUCUUUUGUAUAGGAAGAAAAUGACAGUACUAUACGAAUAAGGUCCGGCUAAUUACGUG